AAAAAUACAACUAGUAUGAUCUCUGUUGUACUCACAUAACUAUUUGCAUAUUUGAUCCGUCAUAGUUGAUUUUGUAAAAUCUUUUAUUUGAGAAAGCAUUGCUAAGAUUUGUGUAAAGAGAAAUUAGAUUAAGCUUCAUGUUUACGUUCACGUUAAUGUCGUAGAUAUAUAUACACAAUAUCUUGCCGAAAAAUAAAUUAAAAAAGUCAAAGAAAAAUAAAAAUCUAACAUAAGUAUAUAUGCAGACAACAAAACAUAUAGAAAAUUAAAUUAA
rnacentral:sRNA from 1 species